rnacentral:rRNA from 1 species
GAUGAACGCUAGCGACAGGCCUAACACAUGCAAGUCGAGGGGCAUCGGGGUGUAGCAAUACGCUGCCGGCGACCGGCGGAUGGGUGAGUAACGCGUAUGCAACCUGCCUUCAGCAGGGGGAUAGCCCCGUUGAAAAGACGGAUUAAUACCCCGUAACACAGGGGCUCCGCAUGGAGAUUAUUGUUAAAGGGAUGCUUCCUUCGGGGAGUAUUCCGGCUGAAGAUGGGCAUGCGUUCCAUUAGGUAGUUGGUUGAGGUAACGGCUCACCAAGCCUGCGAUGGAUAGGGGAACUGAGAGGUUGGUCCCCCCACACUGGUACUGAGACACGGACCAGACUCCUACGGGAGGCAGCAGUGAGGAAUCUUGGUCAAUGGACGGAAGUCUGAACCAGCCAUGUCGCGUGAAGGAGGACGGCCCUAAGGGUUGUAAACUUCUUUUGCAGGGGAAUAAAGUAUUCCACGAGAUGGGAUAUUGCAAGUACGCUGCGAAUAAGGAUCGGCUAACU